rnacentral:lncRNA from 1 species
GUUAACCAAUGAUAAUAUUUUUCCUAUAGUACUGUGUCAAUUAACAUUUAUACAAUUCACCAAACUUAUUCAGGUUUUACCAGUUUUACGUGCACUAUUUUGUGUGCAUAUAUUUAGUUCUAUGCAAUUUCAUAACAUUUGCUGAUUUGUAUGAUCAUUAUCAAUGUAGAGAUAUAGAACAGUUCUAUCACAAGUAUCUAUUGUGCUACCAACUUCAGACCAGAGCCAUCUUUCUACUUCUCCCCCAAAAGCUCUGGCAACCACAAAUCUGUUCUCCAUCUCUUUAAUUUUGUCUCUUCACGAUUUUUCUGAAAAUGGGAUCAUACAUUAUGUUACCUUUCGAGAUGAGCUCUUUCACACAGCAUAAUGCCCUUGUAAUUAGUGUGUACAUCACUAGUCCAUUGGUAAGCAGUAUUCUAUGAAAUGGAUGGUUUAGCUCAUCACAUAUCUUAUAACAGCUGAGUCAUUUCUGAUUUUGAAUAUUAUAAAUAAAGCUGCUUGAACAUUAGUGUAUAAUAUUUUUGUAAACAAAAAUAUAGCCAUUCUCUGGGAUAAAGGUCAAAAAGUCCAAUCGUUGUGUCAUAUGGUAAUCAAAUGUUUAGUUUUAUAAGAAAUUGUCAAACUGUUUUAUAGCGUGUUCAACUUUACAUUCCCAUCAGCAAUACAUAUAGGAUGCAGUUUCUCUUUGUCCUUGCCACUUGUCACAUGUUUUUGUUUUAGUCAUUUUAAUAAGUUUGUAGUAAUAUUUAAUUGUAAUUUUAAUCUGUAUUUUCUUAAUGGCUAAUGAUGUUGAAAAUUACUCCUACUUAUUAGGCUUCCAUGUCUUUUUUUCAGUGAGAUGUCCCAUCAAACACUUUGCCCAUUUUAAUUGGAUUGCUUUAUUUGCUUAUAUUUACUAUGUUUUUACAAAGAUGUCUUUAUAUACUCUAGAUAUAAGUUUCUUAUCAGAUAUUCAGGUUGCAAGUAUUUUGUCUCUUCAUAGCUUGUAUUUUCAUCCUCUUUAUGGGGACUUUCACACAGCAAAUAUUUUCAAUUUUGAUUUCCAAUUUAUCAAUUUUUUUCAUUUUAUGGGUCAUGUUUUUGGUGUCGAGUCUACGAACCACUUGCCUAGCCCUAGAUCUUAAUAAUUUUCCUCUAUGUUUUUUUUUCCUAAGGGUUGUAUAGUUUUAUAUCUUAUAGUUAAGUUUAUAAUCCACUUUGGGUUAAGUCUUGUAUAAGACGUGAGAAUGAUGUCAAAGUUUACCUUUUUUUCUGGUUAAUAUGUACCCAGUUGCUUCAAUAUCAUUUAUUUAAAAGGGUAUCUAUUUUCCUGUUUAAUUGCUUUUUCAUCUUUGUCAAAAAUCAGUCUAGCACAUUUGUGUGAAUCUGUAUUUGGUUUCUCUUUUUUUUCCCAUUGAUCUAUGUGUCUAUUCGUCUAACAAUAUUGCAUUGUCUUGAAUAGUAUAGCUAUAUAGUAAGAUUCAAUAUCAGAUAGAGUGAUUCCUCCUACUUAAUCCAUAUGUUUUAAGAUUCUUUUUCCUAUUCUAGGGCCUAUGCCUUUUUCAUAUGGGGACCUGCUUAAAGAAGCAGUCUGGCCAUGCCUUUGUAGAGCAGCUGUGCUGUGCUGGGGUACUGCUUAUGCACUGGUUGGCUUGAGCUUUCCAAAGCCCACAAGCUGGAAUGGCUAAGUUGCCCAAACAGCAAAGAUAGCAGCCCUCCCCUCCCUCUGAGAGGUUCCCUUGGUUCCAUGUCACUCCUGGGUGGGCUGUCGUCCUGCUUUAUUUUUCUCCAUUCUUUGUGGGUCAAGUUGUUUCCUUGAUUAGUCCCAAUGCGAGUACCUGGAUGUUACUGUUGAAGCUACUGUAUUUACUUGCCCCUUCCAUUCCUCUCUGUGAAAGCCACACAUCUAAGCCGCUUCUAGUCCUGGUGGGGUCUUAGGGGAAUUAUACUAAGUGGAAAAAAUGUAAAUCUGCAAAUGUUUCAUACCAUAGGAUUCUGUGUAUACAGCAUUCUUGAAAAGACAAAAUAAUAUUAGUGAAGAACAGAUUCGUGGUUUCUAGGGUUUGCAAAGGUCUAGGGAGAAGGAUGUCAAUGUGGUUGUGAGAAGACAACAUGAGAGAUCCUUGCGGUGAUAAAAUUAUCCUAUAUCCUGACUGUGGAAGUGGUCACAUGAAUCUGCAUGUGACAUGUGAUAAAAUUUCACAGUAUGAAAUAAACACACAGACACUCAAUGACUCAAUGACUGUGUGUAACACUGGUAAAAUAUGAAUAGAUAGAGUGUAUCAAUUUCUAUUUUUUAGUCAUGACAAUGUAAAAUAGUUAUGCAAGGUGUUACCAUUGGGGGAAACUAGGUAAAACUAUAUAGGAUUUAUCUGAUUAUUUAUUGCCACUACAUGUAAUUCAAUAACUACCUCAAAAGAGAAUGUUAAUAAAAGGAAUGAAGAUAUUAUUUUUUAGCUGAUAUGGAGUGAAUUAUAGGAUAUAAUGUAAAUGCUAAAAAAGUGAGAAAACAAGAUGCUAAUGAAAAUAUUUAUUAUAUAUUUGGUGGAUAGGUAAAGAGUGAUGGAGUAAAAUUGAAGCAAGACUACUACUUUUCACUUAAUUUUGAGUUUUGAACAUGUAAAUACUUUAAAUACUCAAAAAAUUAAAUUAAACACAAAAAGAUUAAAGAAAUACUCUGAAGAUGUGGAUGAACCCACAUUACUAACUAAAAUAAAAACACAUACUCUGAUUCUACACACUUGGUGGAAUACAUUCUAACGACAAAUGUUAGCACAACAAAAUCUCAACUUUUACUUUUGAUUUUGGUAGAAGUACUCGUGUGGUAACUUUGAAGUUAUUUUAUGUUUACUUGAAGAUAGAAGACUGUCAUGAAAUAUUGAUAUUGUUGGAAACUUGAGUUCUCAGUAGGAAAGAAAAAAGAUAAACAUACAAAAUAAAAUAAAGCAUCCUGUGGUACUGAAUUUGAAUUGGAGGUUACAGUAUGAACCCAUGAUUUCACUAAAAAUGUAUUUUCUGACUCUGACUACUAAAAAGUGCUCAGAAAAUAUAUCGUGUUAUUUCCUGUGAUUGCUGUAACAAAUUAUCACAAAUUCAGUGACUUAAAACAAUCAAAAUUGACUUGCAAUUCUGAAGGCUAGGAUCCAAAAUAAGUACUGCUGGGCCAAAAUCAAGAUGUCAGCAGGGGUCUACUACUUCCCAAUGUAUCUAGGGGAAUAAUCUAUUCCUUUUCCAAAGUCUUUUAUUUUUAAAUUUGAUCAUAUUUUCACGUAUUCUGUUUCUUGGAGCAUAUUAAUCAUAUAUAUUUUAUAUUACGUGUUCAAUAACUCCAAUUAUAAAAUAUUAUGAUGUCUGAUUGUGCUGUCUUUUGUGUUUAGUGUUUGUAAUUCAUAGUAACUUUUUUGUGAAUUUUGUCAUUUUUGAAUGUAAGAUAACAUGGUAUUUUGUUUUUGGAAAAUCAUUACGGCAGGCUUCUAUUUCUUCAAAGAGGGUUUGUGCUUACUUCUUCCAGGAAAUACUUUUAAAAUUAUUCCUGCAUUAAGGUGAAAGUCAUAUAUAUUUACUUACAUAAGUCAGAAUUACUGUGAAAGUCAUAUAUCUUUAUUUACAUAAAUCAAAAUUUACAAGUGGCUUAUUGUGUUUAUUAUUUAAUACACAUAUAAGAUAUUAGUAAUGCAUUCCCAUUUGGGGGGUUAAACAUAUUGGUAAACACAUUUUAUUUCAAUUUUUUUCUUUCAGAUCAACUCAGUUAUAUGAAAAAAAAAUCAUUAGGUGAAGCUCCACAUAUACUUUGACAAUUCUGUCCUAAACACAGAUAUCUUGUCAUUGCAAUGUUCUAUCUCUAAACUUUCACCCCUACAAUCUUUAGGAUAAAGUCAUCUGAUACAUUUUAGAGUAGUGAUAUCAUUUCUGUUUAAUAUAAUUUAAUUUCAUUUAGAAACUUUCCGUGUUUUAACUCAUUAGAGUAUUUAGUUAGCCAUUAAUCCAUUUUGUAGAGGCAUUUGUAUUGUGUUUAUGUUUAGUGAUAGCUUCAUACUAGCUUGACCAUGUUAUUUAAAUUUUAAUUUAACUGCACAAUAAACCUAAUAUUGGUAUAUAUUUACAACUAAGAAACUACUUUUAUUCUUUCUUAUGUUUGUUAGUUUUUUUUAAUAAGAUGUGUUUUAUUUUGACUGGCCCAUGUAUCUAUUAAAUUAGGAAUCAUUAGACAUUUCUAGACGAUUUUGUAUUUGGCUUGGUUUUUCAAAAAUAAUUCUAGUGUAUAUUAAGUAGGAUUUGUUUUAUGUUCUACUUAUUCAUAUCAUGUUUUUCUUAAUUGUACAGCAAACUGACUUUUUUAUAGUUUAAAUAAAAAUACUUUAACAUAUAGAACUAAUUAAUCAUGUUCAUAAUAAUAUUAAUCAUCAUAAUAAUCAUCAUAAUUAGUGCUUUCCUUAAGAAAAAAAAUACUUAUUUUAUAUAUCCUUUUCAGUUUCUCAUCCUUUAAGUCAAAUAUUUGUUAUAAAAUAUUCUUAAAAAAUCAUAUUUAUUAGUACUGGAGAAUGAGAAUAAAAGUGCUAUGUGAGUAUGUUUAUAAUGCAGAUAAAAAAUGAACUAAGGCCAAAUGCGGUGGCUCACGCCUGUAAUCCCAGCACUUUGAGAGGCCGAGGUGGUUGGAUCACGUGAGGUCAGGAUUUCGAGACCAGUCUGGCCAACAUGGUGAAAUCCUGUCUCUACAAAAAUACAAAAAUUAGCCCGGUGUGGUGGCACAUGCCUGCAGUCCCAGCUACUGAGGAGACUGAGGUAGGAGAAUCACUUGAACCCGGGAGGCGGAGGUUGCAGUGAGCUGAGAUCGUGCCACUGCACUCCAGCCUGGGUGACAGAUGGAGACUCCGUCUCGAACAAACAAAAAAAUGAACUAAGGUGAUAAUAUUUUCUGUACAAUGACAUUUUCCUCAAUAAAAUGAAUAGAGAAGAAAAAAAGAAAUAGAUUAAAAUUGUGAACACUAGGUUAAAGGAGAACUUAAAUAUAUAAUAAUCACCAAUACAAGCUGAUAUUCAAUAGAUCUAGACAUUACAUUGAGAAGCUGAGUGCAAAACUAUAAGCCGUUUUUGUAAUAGUUCCUUAUGCACAUAAUGCCAGCUCAUUUGUUGUUGAAAAGAUAUUCAAAAUUAUCCAUAUUACGUAAAGGAAAGAAUGAAUUUAUUCAUGAAUAUAAAUGUACUCAUUUCUUGUGCUGUCUUAAUCUAUACUUUCUCCUGUCAGCAAUAGCAAGCAUGUAUAGGUUUUACUUCGGUCAUCACUCAAAAUGAAUGCAAUCCAAAGCCGUUACUUUGCCACUGAGAGUUAACCUUCAGAGACCUCUUUAUGAGUAGAAGUGUUUUAGGACAGCUAUAGCUUUACCAUUGACCUUUUUCUUUUUAUUUUUGCCUUUAGUUUUUAAUUAUCUGUCAUUUGUUACCUGUGAAUUUGACCUAGGAAAGAAGAUAGGUAGCUAACAUACUCAGAGAAAUGCAAUAUUGUUCCCACUUAAAGAUACUAUAAUAACAGCAUCACAAAAAUAUGCCUGAAGGCUACAUAAAUUCAGCAUCUAUGAACAACGAAAUAAUCUUUCAUUUUUCACAUUGAUUUUGUUUCAAUUUACAACAAAGGACUAACAACAGCAGCUGCAAAACAGUGAUCACACAUAAUGUGAUCUGUAAGCAAAUGUUUAUUCACGAAGUACCCAUUUCUCUUCCGGUGCUCUCCAGCUGACUUGUUGCUCAGCAUGUAGUGUAAUAAUCACCGCAUGGUACACUAGCAGGCAUGCAGCGACCAGCAAUAAGGCAUCUGCUAUGCAUUCAAAAACAAAUAUCAAAUGUAAUUCUCCAGAAAUUUCUUAUGGAUUUUAUGUAGACUAGAGACUAUUUGUAUCUUUUAGGAGACAUCUUUCUUAGAACAAAGGUAUAUACAUGUUUAUUAUUUUGGUGCAUGAACUUUUUCAAAGAUGCUUGCAAACACACACAUGCACAAGUAAAUCCUGAUCUUUCACAAAAUUUGAAAGGCUCAUUGUCCUGUAUAUAAGGAGGCUUUUCUAUUUUGAUUGGGUCUCACAGUAUAAACUCAUCAUAUACAUAUGAGUGUGUAUUUUUCUUCACAUAGCUAACUGAAAUAAAAGUUUUAUGAAACUUUCAAGUGUUAUCUGACAUUUUUAUCCUUUUUCUUUUCUUUUCAAUUUCAUUUAAAAACCCUCUGAUUGUGAUUCACUAAAUUGAUCUCAUAAAACAUUGUCAUGACCCUUUAUUUCAAAAUCACUCCUACAGCAUGUACAACAUAUACAUGUACUGAAACAUCACACUGUUCCCCAUAAACAUGUACAAUUAUUAUGUGUCAGUUAUAAACAAAAUAAAAAGUUUUUCUAUAAAUGUUAUACCACAAUAUUGAAUGUUGAUAUUUGUAUUUACUUCCAACUAAAUGGAAUUACUAUUGUAUUACUUCAGAAUUGUUAAUAGAGACUGUACUAAAUUUGAAAAAUGUGUACUUCUGUGAAUACUCCUAAUUUUUGUAAAUUCUAUAGAAAAUGUGUUGUAUACAGUACUUUUUUAGUUCCUGAAUAUCAUUGUGUAUACUUAAAAACAUUAAAAUGUGGACAAAUUUAUAAGGAAAUUAUUCUUAUCAAUAACUCUAAUCACUAAAAAUUACUUAAUCUUUGAUAUUGGAAAUUCAUCAAGUUUAUUUCUGUGUGAAGUUUAUUUUUGUAGAGCACCACCUGUAUGCUUCUCCUUGGUUAUUUUCAUCAAACUAUGUAAGAGAUAGAAUGAUGUUAGUACAGCUGAUUUAUUGCAGCUCCAUUUUCUUCUUAUCUUUACAUUCACCAGGUCAGACCUAAGGGGCUAAUUGAGAAAACAUUUUCUUCUAGUAAAGUCUAAUUUGGAAGAAAUUCCCAGAGAGAACAAAUCUAAUCUGAAUAUCCAUAAACAGAAAGAUUGUCAAAGAGAGACAAAGAUACAAUAAUUGUUGUGUCCAAGAGGGACAUGCUUCAAGUUCUGAAUGAAUUACAAAAAAAUUUUCCCAAAAAGUAAUACUAACAUGUAGUUCCACAUCAGUGCAUGACUGUAUCUAAUUCACCACUUCAUUGCCAAAAUAAAUAUUAUCUUGUAAUUUAAAUAAAAAAAUUUGUCCAUAUGACUUACAGAAACAAUACAAAAGGGAUCAUGAUAAAAAGCAAUAAUCCUGCCUCAGUCUUCACCACAAGUCCUACUUGUGAGCAAAAAAGAAAAAAAGCCAUCUUUAAUUGCUUCAGGUUUUAACUUUUCUGAUAUGUUAUGCUAUAAACUCAAAUUGUGUUUUGUUAAUAUUUUAAAAUAUGUUAAAAUAUUAGCAUAUUUUGAGUUUAUAGCAUAUCAGAAAUGUUUAUCAUUUUAAACAUGAUCCAUUUAAAUCCCAUUAUCAUGUCUGAAGAUUUAGUUCAUGUACGUAUCUCCACAUUUCCUCACAUUCUCCCUGUCCAGGAAAACUAAGUCAUUAAUAUUAUUUAACUUAUCUAUAGCAAUUAUGACUUAUAUAACUUAAUUAUACCUCUAUUUCUAGACUCUGCACCUUAUAAAAAAGUUUUUAGCAACCCUACUCUUUUUCUUUUCUUUCUACCUGCCAGUUUCUUAUCUAUUUCAAUUUUGUAAAUUGCAUAUAAUAACAAAAACGUAUACGGUGUAAUUUUUUUUCCUGUUGUGCUGAAAUUAUGACUAUGAGUAAAAUCGAGUACAAAAUGCAUUAAAUGUCUCUCAUUCUAAGUUCAAAAUUGUGCUACAAUGGUAUCAAAUUAGCUAAAAAUGCAGUUUAAGACCAGUUUCUCCCCAUGGGGCUUACUGAGUGUCCCAUAACUAGCCUACAUUCUCCAGUUACCCUCCCCCACCUCAUGCCUAGAAAUCAUGAGGGAAAAGAAUGGAUGCAUUACAGUUUUUGAAAUCUGGUGAGAGUGAUAAUUCAAGCAAACCAUUCAUAAAGAUUAGAAUUGCCUGCAGGAAAUGUCCGUUAGUAUUCUGUUACCCAUCUGGAAGUCUGUUGUACUCCUGAUGGUGCUAUGUGGCCUGCCUUCUAACCUCACUACUGAUUGUCAGGUAAGAGGUAUUUGGCAAUCUAGAAUUUGAAGAUAGAAGGGUGAGAACAUUCUGAGAGAAAAAGUGUGUUUUAUAAUGCACAGAUCCUUUCUUGCCAUUAUAAGUCACUUGAAGUUUAGACCAGACUAGGUUGUCUUAGGUUGGGUGGUAGUGUCAGAGGCAUGUCAACCAGAGAAGCUCCAUCUUGAAUAGGGAUUGGGUAAAAUGAGGCUGAGACCUACUGGGGUGCACUCCCGGAUGGUUAAGACAUUCUAAAUCACAGGGUGAGAUAGGAGGUCGGCACCAGAUACAGGUCAUAAAGACCUUGCUGAUAAAACAGGUUGCAGUAAAGAAGCCGGCUAAAACCCACCAAAACCAAGACUGCCAGGAGAGUGACCUCUGGUCUACCUCACGGUUACACUCCCACCAGUGCCAUGGCAGUUUGUAAAUGCCAUGACAACAUCAGGAAAUUACCCUAUAUGGUCUAAAAGGGGGAGACAUGAAUAAUCCACCCUUUGUUUAUUUUAUCAUCUAGAGAUAACCAGGUAGAUGGG